rnacentral:rRNA from 1 species
GACGAACGCUGGCGGCGUGCCUAAUACAUGCAAGUCGAGCGGACGAAUCGAAAGCUUGCUUUUGAUUCGUUAGCGGCGGACGGGUGAGUAACACGUGGGCAACCUGCCCUGUAGACGGGGAUAACACCGAGAAAUCGGUGCUAAUACCGGAUAACACGAAAUGUCGCAUGACGUUUCGUUGAAAGACGGCGCAAGCUGUCGCUACAGGAUGGGCCCGCGGCGCAUUAGCUAGUUGGUGAGGGAACGGCUCACCAAGGCGACGAUGCGUAGCCGACCUGAGAGGGUGAUCGGCCACACUGGGACUGAGACACGGCCCAGACUCCUACGGGAGGCAGCAGUAAGGAAUCUUCCGCAAUGGACGAAAGUCUGACGGAGCAACGCCGCGUGAGCGAAGAAGGCCUUCGGGUCGUAAAGCUCUGUUGUUAGGGAAGAACAAGUAACGCAGUAACUGGCGUUACCGUGACGGUACCUAACGAGAAAGCCACGGCUAACUACGUG